rnacentral:rRNA from 205 species
AACAAGGUUUCCGUAGGUGAACCUGCGGAAGGAUCAUUA